rnacentral:pre_miRNA from 1 species
UCAUCAGCUCCAUCGUGCAGAGGUUUGAGUGUCUAAUUUUUAACCAUUCGCAUUCAACCUUUGGACGGUAGAGAUGGUCA